AUGCAACCGGCCCAGCCCAUUUAAUUGGGAACGGUGAAACAACAGAGAAAACACACGCGAUUAGGGAUUUCUAGGGUUUUAGAGGGUUAACGUUUCACAAAGCUUUCUCCGAUACCUAUCGAUUACCUGUGUUACCGGUGAAUGAUCGGAGAUCUACUGCCGGAAAAUGUCAGGAGCAGCUCAGGCGUUCAGCGGCAAUCUUAAGGGAAUUAAAUGUGGAUCUGGCGGGCGUUUAGAUGUUUCAAGUGAUGUUGGGAAUAAAAGAUGUCAUCCGAAGUCUAAGGGUUUGAAUUGUGUGUUUUAUCCUGGAUAAGAUACAUGGUUCAAAGCCUGGUUUUUAUUAGUGUCUUUUGUCGAGUCCUUUUGGAACUCUAAAACAAUUUGCAUGGUUUGUAAUUUGGAUUUGAAGUUUGUGUUUGGUUUUCAAGACAAUGCUGUUUGUGAUGUUUUUAACUUAAUCAAUGGAUGAACAUAUUGGUUUUAUUA